rnacentral:snRNA from 1 species
AGAACAACCUGAACCUUGGAGGCAGAAGUUGCAGUGAACUGAGAAUGUGCCUCUGCACUCCAGCCUGGGUGACAGAG